rnacentral:rRNA from 1 species
UACGGAGGGAGCUAGCGUUGUUCGGAAUUACUGGGCGUAAGCGCACGUAGGCGGCUUUGUAAGUUAGAGGUGAAAGCCCGGGGCUCAACCCCGGAAUUGCCUUUAAGACUGCAUCGCUUGAAUCCGGGAGAGGUGAGUGGAAUUCCGAGUGUAGAGGUGAAAUUCGUAGAUAUUCGGAAGAACACCAGUGGCGAAGGCGGCUCACUGGACCGGUAUUGACGCUGAGGUGCGAAAGCGUGGGGAGCAAACAGG